UACGUAGGGGGCAAGCGUUGUCCGGAAUCAUUGGGCGUAAAGCGCGUGUAGGCGGUUCGAUAAGUCUGCUGUGAAAGUCCAGGGCUCAACCUCGGAACUGCCUUCGAUACUGGCGAUCUUCGAGUCCGGGAGAGGUGAGUGGAACUCCGAGUGUAGAGGUGAAAUUCGUAGAUAUUCGGAAGAACACCAGUGGCGAAGGCGGCUCACUGGCCCGGUACUGACGCUGAGAUACGAAAGCGUGGGGAGCAAACAGG
rnacentral:rRNA from 1 species